ACUCGUUCCACUGACAGCUCGGCUCCAGCCUGUUGAAGCCGUGAGCUAAAGAAGGUGAUCACCUGGAACAGAGAACAAUAUUGUUUAAACAAGCUGAUGUGGGAAACGUCACUUCAGCAAACAGCUUCAUUUCUAAGGAAAAUACAUGUGACAUGGAACUAACUUGUUUUUAAAAGAAUGGAUGAGCUUCUUUCUGAGGUGGGGAAACCCCUCUGCUCAAAACUACUUGAAUAGAGAGCCUGAAGAGUGGAUAAUGUAUCUGCUAAAGACAAGGUCUCAAAUUUCACUCAACAGAAAUACUGGGCACCAACUCAGUUGUGGCCACUGGAGUGGUAUGUGGAAUUCCAAAGGUAGUAAAAGACAUAUUUUUUUCUGGACUCAAGGGAACUACUACGAUCUAUCUGAUAGUGUGGAGAAGGAAGAGAGAUGGAACACAGAAGUUUGUAACAAAAUGAAAAUGAUGAAACACAAAGUAACAUGAAUAACAAAUAACAACUGAACACACUGGUAAA